UCUUGAUGGUUUUAAGCAGCGAUUUUUCGCGUCAAACUCGAACUAAGACAGUGAUUCAAUCGCACUGAAAAUUUACUUUAGUACCAGUGGAACCAAGUGAUUGAAAUACACACGCGCAGUCGUUAAGGCUCCAAACAGUGGUACUGCUACAAACUCCAAUCAGAAAACCGGGCAUGAACAUAAACAGUGAUUUCCGAUUUGGAAGCAUGGUUUACAUGUGCUCUCCCCUACGGAUGUCGUUGACUUGUACAUACAAUGGGAACGAUGAGAGAAAGUGGGUACAAUGCAAAGCUCGCAUAUUUGCAAAUGACCUACCAUAAUAGAAUUGGGGCUUUUGUAACUUUGGGUCGAUUUCAUGGGGUUGAAAAGCGGUUUCGGUUCAUAUUCGGGACCUUAAAUUAGGCUACACCUGAGGGAUGGAUGAAAAAAAUCGCAUUUAAAGCAUACCAGUGAAUGAAUGUAUAGCCAAAACACUGCAGUUUCUGCAGUUCUGCAACAAAAUCAGAACUAUUGGCAACAUCGCUCUUUAAAUUGAAUGGUUCCAACCUUGACCAACGCAUAUUAUUAGGGGGCGCACCAAGUAAGGAGCGUCAUUUCAGCUGCAGCUUUAUUCGGUCGUUUGUAAAUUAUUUAUAUUCCAAUAAUUAUAUACUGGUAUUUUAGUUUAAUUAAAAUUGAUUUAAUGAAACAACAAGUAGGAAGUUGGAAUCUUUGCUGGAACUAAUAGAUCAGUUUUCGACUUGAAUACAACGGUUACAAGAAAAUCUUGUGAUAGCUAAAGCUUUUGUCGACAUUUUAUUAUAUUUUCUUCAUCUGGAUUGUCCACAAAUCAAAGACCUCCACAGAGAAGGGUCAGUUGUUAACAUAUCUGUGCGACAUUGAAAGGUGCAAGAACCGAUUGUCUUUUACCCGUAAAGAUACAAUUUUUUGUUUAUGUUUAUAUCUGUGAGAGGUGGUACCAACUGAGGUUUCCAGAUAUGCUUUUGAUUUAGGUACUUUUUGUCUAUUGAACGCUGUGUUGAUGCCACUUAACACUUCGGGUUCUUUGUGCACUCGGGAGCGGUGAAAAUUUCUUUAAAAUGUUGCAUAGUGGUGUUGAGAGUUAAAUAAGAUUUAAGGGGGAUAGGCAAAGCUGGAUGGACAGAAAGCCACAGUGAAGAUCUUCAGUUUAGCAAUUUUCAUAGCAGAGUCAACUUCUUUAGUUGAGGAAUAGUCAAGAAGGUUCACUAAAGGCCGCAAAGUUAUACGAUAAACCGGGAGUGUUUAGAAGUUUUUACUUGCAACUAUCGAUUGUCAGGGUUUGCACAAUGAGGAUAAAAUUGGAGUGGCAGAUUCUUACCAUAUCGCUUAUCCAAAGACUCUACGGCACGUAUCAGAGACACGUUUCCAACACACACCCAAUAAUCAAGUGUGGUAUUCACAAUUGCAGGACGUGCCACAAGUUUUUUGAACUGUAUCCAUACAACACUUACCGUCUAAGUUUGCUGUUGGGUUCAGUGCUUCAAACAUCAAUUAAUCAACCCAAUGAAGAAUGAAACCACAGCAUAUUUAUGUUUCCAGCAAAGUUCCUAUAGUAGUUAAUAACCAAUAGUAAAACUUAGUGUUUACUGCCAACACAACGGUUAUUUACAAUAAACAUAUUUAUUAAUUA
rnacentral:lncRNA from 1 species